UCAUAAUAAAUCUUAUCAAUAAAUAAUACUUAUUGAUAAUAAAAUAAUCUUAAAUUUAAGGGAUGGAAUUAUUUUAAGAAACAUGACUAUUCCUAAUAUUGGUUAAAAAAAUUGGACUUAUAUGAAACUUCCCCAUAUAAAAUCUAAAUGUUCAAAAAUAUGUAAAACUAUUUUUUUUUUCUUCAAAAUGUAUGUUCCUACUUAAAUAUAGGAAGCAUCCACCAAACAUUGAUGACAGACUUAUACCCUUCUUUAUGGAUUCCAGUACUACAUGAGGUGGUAGUGUACCGUUUGUUCCCAGAUUCACACCAUUCAAUCUAACUAGUUAUUGGCGUCAAUUAGUGGUCCAAUUGGCCUAAUACUCCCAUGUACAUCUUACAUAGCGUUUACGCCGAGAUCCUUGAACGAGCCCUAAUCUACAUUGAAAUAUGGUUUGGAUCAAAGUUCUAAAAGAUGCUAAGGCCAUCUCCAACCGAUGGCUGGCCAGAGGGCUCGUUUUAGCCCUCUGACCCUCCAAGAUUCUCCAAGAUAUUAAUAUUUUAAUGAACAGUACAGGGCCAUAUUUGCCUCCGUCUCCAACCGAGGGCCAGAGGGUCAGAGGGCUCGUUUUAGCCCUGUCACAAAAAACCGUCUCCAACCGAGGGCCAUAGGGCCAAACAUAAUUUAUUAUUUAAAAACUACAAUUUAAAUUCAAAUCUUGUGAAAUAGAAGUUAUAGGAAAUAAAAUAUGAAUCAAAUUUAUGUUGGUUUUAUGUUGUAUAAUUUGUAUGUUGGUUAAUGUUAUUUAAUGUUAUUUCAUAUUGUUUAAUGUUGU
rnacentral:lncRNA from 1 species